GUGUCGAUCGAAUAGUUGGGAGGGAUUCUGCAGAGGUUGAAGAAGAGCAAAAGAUGCUUGAAGAGGCAAUUAAAAAUGCUCGAGAGAGGGAUAGAAGAACAUUGUUACGUGCUAUGAAUCAAAGUAGCUCUAUAAGUUCAUCAAAAAACACAACCAACAAAGAAA